GAGUUUGAUCAUGGCUCAGAGUGAAGGCUAUAAGUCUGCUUGAAUACAUGCGAGUUGAAUGGUUAAAACCAUAGCGUACGGGUGAGUAAUAGGCUAAUAUCUGGCUUCAACUUCGGAAUAAUCCUAUCCCCCAGGGGAGAAGGCAACAGGAGAAUACCGGAUAAAUAUAUAAAGGUCCGCCGGUUGAAGAUGAUUAGGUUCAGUAUUAGGUAGUUGGUGAGGUAAAGCUUACCAAGCCAAUGAUGCUUAGUUGGUCUGAUAGGACGAUCAAUCACACUGGGACUGAGACAAGGCCCAGGUUUCAUUUGAAGGCAGCAGUAAGGAAUAUUGGACAAUGAGCGAAAGCUUGAUCCAGCAAGGCUUGGUGAGGGAUUGAAGGCUUAGGUUGUAAACCUCUUUUUU
rnacentral:rRNA from 1 species